rnacentral:lncRNA from 1 species
AUGCCUGGGACGGGAAGGAAGAUUGACAAGAGCUGCUUCUGCCAGCUAGCGAGAACACAGGACCUGCCUGUGUCCUACCAUGGAGCCCACACACCCCCGGUGAAGCCAGGCAGCCCGGGGAGGCAAACUGGAGCAUGCUGCUCUCUCCCGCCCGAGUCUUCCUACACUCACAGUCCUCCUCCCAGGAGAAAGACUCAGAGAAGAGAAACUGAGCAGAACACAGCAAGUCCAGGGGCAGGGAAAUUAUUGAUUCAUGCAUUUGCUCGUUCAUUAAAUUAUACCUUCAAAACUUGGAGCUAGCCCUUCUGGGACUUUCCAGGCCUAAGGACUGAGUUUUCUUGUUUAUUUCCUUCAUAGUGCUUACCUCCACUUGUUAUUGUUUUCUUUGGUUCAUGGUUUUUUUUUAAUUUUUUGAAAAAUCCAUCUCCUUUUUUAAAAAACUAAGUUCCUUAAAGAAAAGGUACACUAACUGUCUGUUAGCAAUAUGGGGUCUUAACUGGCUCAGGCUGGAUACAAGAUAUCCACAGACGCAGCAGCUCAAACAGUUCUAGUUGAAUUU